AUGAGUAAUGACGCCUUUAUAAUCUGCUCUUGGAAUGUACGAGGACUUGGUGAUAACGACAAGUGCUCUGACGUGCUAUCCGAACUAAUCGCAACAAAACUGCACAUUACGCUCUUACAAGAAUCAAAAAUCGACUCUCUCUCCGACAGUAAAACAAAAUCCUUCCUACCACGUCAGGCUGACCAAGUUUUCUCCUUGCCAGCUGUCGGAACCGCGGGUGGCACCAUCUCGGCCGUCAACUCUACGUCCUUCCAAGUUGUGUCCUUCUCCCAUUUAACCUUCUCCUCCACACUAAUCCUUCAAUCAACUGCCUGCGCCCACCACAUUGCCAUUACUAACAUCUACGCUCCCUCCUCGCGCUCUCUCAAGUUAGCGUUCUUAGACGAACUCGUCUCAAUCGCACAACCCGAUGACACCCCAUGGCUCAUCGCCAGUGACUUCAACCUCAUCCGUUUCCCCUCCGAAAAAAACACCGCCUUCCGCCCCGCCAAAACCAACGCGUUCAACCAAACCUUAGAUAACCUAGCACUUAUCGAAUUGCCUUUACUGGACCGCAGGUUCACUUGGUCCAAUAACCGUGCCUCCCCCACCCUAGAACGGCUAGAUCGCGUCUUUUUUAACCUUGCAUGGGCAGAUGCUUUCCCUAACACUUCCCUUUCCUCUCGAUCUCGCUUUACGUCCAAUCACGUUCCACUCCUCAUCCACGUCACCACCUCCAUCCCUCGAUCCAACUUUUUCAAAUUCGAAGCGGCCUGGGCCAACUCCCGGCCCUGCAAGGACAUUUUUGCUCAAAUUUGGGCUGCACAGCCCUCAUCGCCAACCAAUGCCACUGCCUCCCUCGUCUCUGCGCUCAAAAAAUCUCGUGCCCGUCUUAAGACUUGGGCACGUCCUCGUAUCCCCACCCACCUACGCGAGGCUCGCUGCCAAGCUACAAUCACAGCCCUAGACCUCGUUGAAGAAACUAGACCCCUAACUCAGCCAGAGUCGCUCACUCGCAAAAUCAUCAUCUCCUUGCUCAAGAGUGCCAUCCACGAGAAAAUGACAUAUUGGCGCUAG
rnacentral:rRNA from 1 species